rnacentral:rRNA from 1 species
CACGUAGGGGGCGAGCGUUGUCCGGAUUCAUUGGGCGUAAAGGGCGCGCAGGCGGCCCGGAAAGUCGGAUGUGAAAACUCGAGGCUCAACCUCGAGCGUGCACCCGAUACUGCCGGGCUUGAGGCAGGUAGGGGAGAUCGGAAUUCCUGGUGUAGCGGUGGAAUGCGCAGAUAUCAGGAGGAACACCGAUAGCGAAGGCAGCUCGCUGGGACGGUACUGACGCUGAGGCGCGAAAGCGUGGGGAGCGAACAGG